UUUCACCGAAAUAAUAAAUAUUAUUCGAUCUUACUAAUCCCUGAUAUAACUUUAAACGGAAUUUUAUUUCAAUGUCAACAACAUGAUCAAGGCAAAACGUGUUUGUAUAUUGAGGCUAGCAUAAUCCUAGUUAACCACUUGGGAAUUAAUCUAGUUAUAAAUGUAAAAAAAAAAAAAAACCCAAACUACUCUACCUUGACAUUCCCUUCAUGGUGCUGAAGCAGUGGUUUGAAAAAAGGUGCCGGUGACGGUAUGGAAAAAAUAUUCAUCUUCAUUCUGUCAGACAAAUGAUGUAAUGUUUACAUAGUGAUUGUUUACGUUGCAUUAUAUUGACUUACUGGAGUUGUUAUUGUCAUCAAAGUGCAGAAAUAUUACCUGGCAGAAGGGCUGAGAAAUGCAACCAAUAGAAAUCCCACAGUCACAAACACAGGUCCCAGGUACGUGGUCAAGGUUAAUAAUAUGUUGUCUUGUUCUGCACGAACACAUCAUGGUAAAACUUCGAACAUCAAAUGUAAGGAAAUUCAAAAAAAAAAAAAAAAAAAACCUUUUCAAGAUCUUAAAAAAAAAAGUUUAGUUAAUGAUAUUUUACGCAUGAAAAUUUUAUAAACAAUAUAGAACAAUUUUUUUUUUGCAUGGCUACAGUCAGUGUAUCAGGACUUUUUACUGAAGAAAUAAUAAGCCAUGCGUUACCUUCCUUUGCAAAAUCCCCGCAAAUCUUUGAACUCCAUUCACUCCAGGUCCCACUGUAAUCUCUGACAAAGGCUUUUGAUCUCACUUUAAAGCAAUAUGUAGCUGGUGCUUCAAGUCUUUCUCUCAGAAUUGACUUAAAAGUUUUUUGCAGGGUCUUUAAAAAAACAAAA